rnacentral:lncRNA from 1 species
AGCCGACCAGUCAUGUUUGCAUCAUUUGCAUCAUAGCAUUUUUAUUUCAAAAAAAAUAAUGCAAUAAAAAAAAGGAAAGAAAAGAAAAAAACUAAUCUCUGCAUGCAUAUCAUUUCUCAGGUUCAUUCAGGAGUCUAUUCACUGUGAGAGAUGGCAUCCGUUCCAGAGUUGAAGAGGAAGACUUGCACCUACAGUUUUCACC